rnacentral:rRNA from 1 species
AGUGAACGCUGGCGGUAGGCCUAACACAUGCAAGUCGAACGGCAGCACAGGAGAGCUUGCUCUCUGGGUGGCGAGUGGCGGACGGGUGAGGAAUACAUCGGAAUCUACUCUGUCGUGGGGGAUAACGUAGGGAAACUUACGCUAAUACCGCAUACGACCUACGGGUGAAAGCAGGGGACCUUCGGGCCUUGCGCGAUUGAAUGAGCUGAUGUCGGAUUAGCUAGUUGGCGGGGUAAAGGCCCACCAAGGCGACGAUCCGUAGCUGGUCUGAGAGGAUGAUCAGCCACACUGAAACUGAGACACGGUCCAGACUCCUACGGGAGGGAGCAGUAGGGAAUAUUGGACAAUGGGCGCAAGCCUGAUCCAGCCAUACCGCGUGGGUGAAGAAGGCCUUCGGGUUGUAAAGCCCUUUUGUUGGGAAAGAAAUCCAGCUGGCUAAUACCCGGUUGGGAUGACGGUACCCAAAGAAUAAGCACCGGCUAACUUCGUGCCAGCCGCCGCGGUAA